GAAUAUUGAAUACAAGGCUAGAUAUUCCACAACAAAUAACGUAACGAUCCACAUUUACUUCUACGAGGAAAUACGUAACCAAUAUAAGCGAUCGUUCAUCGAGUUCCACCACAAGAUCUGCGACUUUCUCACUAAGGACCCGUACAUCGGCGCGGUGGCAGCCAACUUGGGACUCGACAAAUGCCCUGUUCCCAAUGGCAUACACAGAUUGCUAAAUCUGACAACAAACUAUGACAACUUCCCGAACGUCUUCCCGUUUGCAAAGGGUCGCAUUGACUUCUGGUUUAACUGCAGUGAUACAGGAGAGGGCGUGGCCGGCGCGACCGCUUUUGUCGCAUUCAAAAACGAAUUCAAGAGGAAAC